rnacentral:rRNA from 1 species
AUUGAACGCUGGCGGCGUGCCUAACACAUGCAAGUCGAGCGGUAACAGGUGUAGCAAUACAUGCUGACGAGCGGCGAACGGGUGAGUAAUGCUUCGGAAUCUGCCCAUGUAGUGGGGAAUAACCAGCCGAAAGGUUGGCUAAUACCGCAUACGACCCUUGCCCACAAGGCAAGGGUGAAAGCAGGGGAUCGCAAGACCUUGCGCUAUUGGAUGAGCCGAAGUCGGAUUAGCUAGUUGGUAGGGUAACGGCCUACCAAGGCGACGAUCCGUAGCUGGUCUGAGAGGACGACCAGCCACACUGGGACUGAGACACGGCCCAGACUCCUACGGGAGGCAGCAGUGGGGAAUAUUGGACAAUGGGGCAACCCUGAUCCAGCGACGCCGCGUGUGUGAAG